UGACUGAUUUUUUUGUAAUUUUUACUAUCCUGUCCCUGUUUUCACUCGGAAAAUACAGUUUUAAGAGUUGAAAACAGAAUGCUUGGUUUGAAAUAUUCUGAAAUAAUAUUUGUCUCGACUCUCGAUGAAGCGGAACUCGUCCCGGCCAUGUAAUACGAUACGCGAACGGGCUAAUAUGCGAUCAAUGUAAUAUGGUAAACGCUAAAGUCACGUGACUUAAUAUCGUAUUCCAUCUUUACGUGCUCUAUCCAAAAAAAGUUUUUGGACGCUACGGUGACGUAUAAUGAAACUAUAAUAUAGAUGGAGGACUUAUUAGACGUUGCUGUUUUUUAUUUUAAUUUCGGGAGGGAGGAAGAUAUAAAUAAAUGAGUUGUUGAUACCACAUAAUAAUGCCCAUAGAAACGAGCAAUACGAAAGAUUGGAUUUGAAUAAUUUAAUGCCAGAGGAAUAUAAAGCAAAAUUCUGAUUUGAAAGAGAGCACAUUAGAAGACUUGCAGCUGCUCUUAACAUACCUCAUCAAAUAAAAACGGAAAACCGUUAUAUCGUUUCAGGUAUAGAAGGUUUAUGUAUAUAGAGACAUUUAGUAUAUCCUAAUAGAUUGGCAGAUCUAGAACAUGAAUUUGAUCUGGGUAUUCCUUAUCUUUCAGUAAUUUCUAAUACUGUAAUAAGAAUAAUCAGCAACAAAAAGGACAUUUAUUAACAAAUCUAAAUAAUCUACCAUGGCUUAACAGAAAUAAGCUCCAAUAUUAUUCACAGGCUAUUUCGGCAAAAGGAAUACCUGUACAAAAUUGCUGAGACUUCAUUGAUGAUACAGCACGAGUAAUAUGUAGACCAUCUGUGAAUCAACAAAAGUAUUAUUCUAGUCAUAAACGACAACAUUGUCUCAAGUAUCAAUCUGUAUUAUGUCCAGAUAGUAUAAUAGUUAGUCUUCAUGGACCCUAUUCUGGUAGACGACAUGAUGCAAGCAUAUUCAGAGACUCGCUUUUAUAUCCUCAAUUAGAAAGGAUCCACUUAUGAAGUUGAUAAAGGCGUGGAAGAUAAUGCUGACGAUGAUCCUGACAAUGGUUCCGAUUCUGAUAAUGAUACUGAUUCCGAUGGUACUGAUUCUGAUGAAUAGCAUUGAUGUAAAGGUAUUAAACUUGGUGAUAAAGUAUCCAUUGCAGAACAUGCAGAAGAAACAAAAUCUUAUUGUAAUGUUACCGAUGUUGGAUACUGAAAGUGAUGAAAACAUUAAAGUUCAUGAAUCGUUUAUUGAAAAGUUAAAAAAUGUAAGUUCUUGAGAUUCUAAUUUACUUGUUGUCUCCGACGAAUAAACAUUUUUCGUUGCUGCA
rnacentral:misc_RNA from 1 species